AGAGUUUGAUCAUGGCUCAGAUUGAACGCUGGCGGCAGGCUUAACACAUGCAAGUCGAACGGUAGCAGGAGAAAGCUUGCUUUCUUGCUGACGAGUGGCGGACGGGUGAGUAAUGCUUGGGAAUCUGGCCUAUGGAGGGGGGAUAACGACGGGAAACUGUCGCUAAUACCGCGUAUUAUCGGAAGAUGAAAGUGCGGGACUGAGAGGCCGCAUGCCAUAGGAUGAGCCCAAGUGGGAUUAGGUAGUUGGUGGGGUAAAGGCCUACCAAGCCUGCGAUCUCUAGCUGGUCUGAGAGGAUGACCAGCCACACUGGAACUGAGACACGGUCCAGACUCCUACGGGAGGCAGCAGUGGGGAAUAUUGCGCAAUGGGGGGAACCCUGACGCAGCCAUGCCGCGUGAAUGAAGAAGGCCUUCGGGUUGUAAAGUUCUUUCGGUAUUGAGGAAGGUUGAUGUGUUAAUAGCACAUCAAAUUGACGUUAAAUACAGAAGAAGCACCGGCUAACUCCGUGCCAGCAGCCGCGGUAAUACGGAGGGUGCGAGCGUUAAUCGGAAUAACUGGGCGUAAAGGGCACGCAGGCGGUUAUUUAAGUGAGGUGUGAAAGCCCCGGGCUUAACCUGGGAAUUGCAUUUCAGACUGGGUAACUAGAGUACUUUAGGGAGGGGUAGAAUUCCACGUGUAGCGGUGAAAUGCGUAGAGAUGUGGAGGAAUACCGAAGGCGAAGGCAGCCCCUUGGGAAUGUACUGACGCUCAUGUGCGAAAGCGUGGGGAGCAAACAGGAUUAGAUACCCUGGUAGUCCACGCUGUAAACGCUGUCGAUUUGGGGGUUGGGGUUUAACUCUGGUGCCCGUAGCUAACGUGAUAAAUCGACCGCCUGGGGAGUACGGCCGCAAGGUUAAAACUCAAAUGAAUUGACGGGGGCCCGCACAAGCGGUGGAGCAUGUGGUUUAAUUCGAUGCAACGCGAAGAACCUUACCUACUCU
rnacentral:rRNA from 1 species